rnacentral:rRNA from 1 species
UACGGAGGGUGCAAGCGUUAUCCGGAUUCACUGGGUUUAAAGGGUGCGUAGGUGGGUUGGUAAGUCAGUGGUGAAAUCUCCAGGCUUAACUUGGAAACUGCCAUUGAUAACUAUCAAUCUUGAAUACCGUGGAGGUCAGCGGAAUAUGUCAUGUAGCGGUGAAAUGCUUAGAUAUGACAUAGAACACCAAUGCGAAGGCAGCUGGCUACGCGGAUAUUGACACUGAUGCAC